UUAAGCGACUAAGCGUACACGGUGGAUGCCCUGGCAGUCAGAGGCGAUGAAGGACGUGCUAAUCUGCGAAAAGCGCCGGCGAGGUGAUAUGAACCUUUGACCCGGCGAUGUCCGAAUGGGGAAACCCAGUGUGUUCCGACACACUAUCGUUAACUGAAUACAUAGGUUAACGAGGCGAACCGGGGGAACUGAAACAUCUAAGUACCCCGAGGAAAAGAAAUCAACCGAGAUUCCCCCAGUAGCGGCGAGCGAACGGGGAGCAGCCCAGAGUCUGAAUCAGCUUGUGUGUUAGUGGAAGCGUCUGGAAAGUCGCACGGUACAGGGUGACAGUCCCGUACACGAAAGCACACAGGCUGUGAACUCGAAGAGUAGGGCGGGACACGUGGUAUCCUGUCUGAAUAUGGGGGGACCAUCCUCCAAGGCUAAAUACUCCUGACUGACCGAUAGUGAACCAGUACCGUGAGGGAAAGGCGAAAAGAACCCCGGCGAGGGGAGUGAAAAAGAACCUGAAACCGUGUACGUACAAGCAGUGGGAGCCUCUUUUAUGGGGUGACUGCGUACCUUUUGUAUAAUGGGUCAGCGACUUAUAUUCUGUAGCAAGGUUAACCGUAUAGGGGAGCCGAAGGGAAACCGAGUCUUAACUGGGCGUUAAGUUGCAGGGUAUAGACCCGAAACCCGGUGAUCUAGCCAUGGGCAGGUUGAAGGUUGGGUAACACUAACUGGAGGACCGAACCGACUAAUGUUGAAAAAUUAGCGGAUGACUUGUGGCUGGGGGUGAAAGGCCAAUCAAACCGGGAGAUAGCUGGUUCUCCCCGAAAGCUAUUUAGGUAGCGCCUCGUGAAUUCAUCUUCGGGGGUAGAGCACUGUUUCGGCUAGGGGGCCAUCCCGGCUUACCAACCCGAUGCAAACUACGAAUACCGAAGAAUGUUAUCACGGGAGACACACGGCGGGUGCUAACGUCCGUCGUGAAGAGGGAAACAACCCAGACCGCCAGCUAAGGUCCCAAAGUCAUGGUUAAGUGGGAAACGAUGUGGGAAGGCACAGACAGCCAGGAUGUUGGCUUAGAAGCAGCCAUCAUUUAAAGAAAGCGUAAUAGCUCACUGGUCGAGUCGGCCUGCGCGGAAGAUGUAACGGGGCUAAACCAUGCACCGAAGCUGCGGCAGCGACGCUUAUGCGUUGUUGGGUAGGGGAGCGUUCUGUAAGCCGUUGAAGGUGUCCUGUGAGGGGUGCUGGAGGUAUCAGAAGUGCGAAUGCUGACAUAAGUAACGAUAAAGCGGGUGAAAAGCCCGCUCGCCGGAAGACCAAGGGUUCCUGUCCAACGUUAAUCGGGGCAGGGUGAGUCGACCCCUAAGGCGAGGCCGAAAGGCGUAGUCGAUGGGAAACAGGUUAAUAUUCCUGUACUUGGUGUUACUGCGAAGGGGGGACGGAGAAGGCUAUGUUAGCCGGGCGACGGUUGUCCCGGUUUAAGCAUGUAGGCGGAGGUUCCAGGUAAAUCCGGUUCCUUGUUAACGCUGAGGUGUGAUGACGAGGCACUACGGUGCUGAAGUAACAAAUGCCCUGCUUCCAGGAAAAGCCUCUAAGCAUCAGGUAACACGAAAUCGUACCCCAAACCGACACAGGUGGUCAGGUAGAGAAUACCAAGGCGCUUGAGAGAACUCGGGUGAAGGAACUAGGCAAAAUGGUGCCGUAACUUCGGGAGAAGGCACGCUGAUAUGUAGGUGAAGCCCCUGCGGGUGGAGCUGAAAUCAGUCGAAGAUACCAGCUGGCUGCAACUGUUUAUUAAAAACACAGCACUGUGCAAACACGAAAGUGGACGUAUACGGUGUGACGCCUGCCCGGUGCCGGAAGGUUAAUUGAUGGGGUUAGCGGUAACGCGAAGCUCUUGAUCGAAGCCCCGGUAAACGGCGGCCGUAACUAUAACGGUCCUAAGGUAGCGAAAUUCCUUGUCGGGUAAGUUCCGACCUGCACGAAUGGCGUAAUGAUGGCCAGGCUGUCUCCACCCGAGACUCAGUGAAAUUGAACUCGCUGUGAAGAUGCAGUGUACCCGCGGCAAGACGGAAAGACCCCGUGAACCUUUACUAUAGCUUGACACUGAACACUGGUCCUUGAUGUGUAGGAUAGGUGGGAGGCUUUGAAGCGUGGACGCCAGUCUGCGUGGAGCCAACCUUGAAAUACCACCCUUUAAUGGCUGGUGUUCUAACGUAGACCCGUGAUCCGGGUUGCGGACAGUGUCUGGUGGGUAGUUUGACUGGGGCGGUCUCCUCCCAAAGAGUAACGGAGGAGCACGAAGGUUAGCUAAUCCUGGUCGGACAUCAGGAGGUUAGUGCAAUGGCAUAAGCUAGCUUGACUGCGAGAGUGACGGCUCGAGCAGGUGCGAAAGCAGGUCAUAGUGAUCCGGUGGUUCUGAAUGGAAGGGCCAUCGCUCAACGGAUAAAAGGUACUCCGGGGAUAACAGGCUGAUACCGCCCAAGAGUUCAUAUCGACGGCGGUGUUUGGCACCUCGAUGUCGGCUCAUCACAUCCUGGGGCUGAAGUAGGUCCCAAGGGUAUGGCUGUUCGCCAUUUAAAGUGGUACGCGAGCUGGGUUUAGAACGUCGUGAGACAGUUCGGUCCCUAUCUGCCGUGGGCGCUGGAGAAUUGAGGGGGGCUGCUCCUAGUACGAGAGGACCGGAGUGGACGCAUCACUGGUGUUCGGGUUGUCAUGCCAAUGGCACUGCCCGGUAGCUAAAUGCGGAAGAGAUAAGUGCUGAAAGCAUCUAAGCACGAAACUUGCCCCGAGAUGAGUUCUCCCUGAGACUUUAAGUCUCCUGAAGGAACGUUGAAGACUACGACGUUGAUAGGUCGGGUGUGUAAGCGCAGCGAUGCGUUGAGCUAACCGAUACUAAUGAACCGUGAGGCUUAACCU
rnacentral:rRNA from 1 species